rnacentral:rRNA from 1 species
GAUGAACGCUCGCUACAGGCUUAACACAUGCAAGUCGCAGGGUAACAUGAGGAAAGCUUGCUUUCCUUGAUGACGACUGGCGCACGGGUGAGUAACGCGUAUCCAACCUUCCCAUAACUACGGGAUAACCCGUUGAAAGACGGCCUAAUACCGUAUGAUAUCGUUUGCUGACAUCAAAUAACGAUUAAAGGUUUAGCGGUUAUGGAUGGGGAUGCGUCUGAUUAGCUUGUUGGCGGGGUAACGGCCCACCAAGGCGACGAUCAGUAGGGGUUCUGAGAGGAAGGUCCCCCACAUUGGAACUGAGACACGGUCCAAACUCCUACGGGAGGCAGCAGUGAGGAAUAGUGGUCAAUGGGCGAGAGCCUGAACCAGCCAAGUAGCGUGCAGGACGACGGCCCUAUGGGUUGUAAACUGCUUUUAUGUGGGGAUAAAGUGCGUGACGUGUCAUGCAUUGCAGGUACCACAUGAAUAAGGACCGGCUAAUUCCGUG